GGAAAGCUUUGGCUGGAUGUCGAGUUUAUCCAACUUAGAGAACCUAAAGCUGUGCCUUCCAAAUGUUGCUAGUCUACCAGAAGAUUUUAAUGCCCUUACUCAACUUAAAAAACUUAAUUUGUCCUGCAUAAACCUGCAAGACCUCCCGAAACUUCCCUCAAGCUUGUCAAAACUUCUUAUCAAGAAUUGCAAGAGCCAGAGGGUGGAUUUCUCUAAUCUGGAAACUCUGUCCAAAUUAAAGCUCUGUGACUGCAAUGCAUCGGAAAUUUUGGGUCUUGGGAAACUAAGGCUCCUGCAAGUGUUGAAGAUAUCUGACUGCAACAUUAAGAACCUUGAUGGUCUCGAACAAGCAUCACAAUUGAGAAAGUUUUCUAUGUCUCAAUGCUAUUCUCUUGACAGGUUGCCAGACGUAUCAAAGUGCCAAAAUCUGGAAUUUAAGGAAAUAGUCUUUUGCAACAUUGAGGAUCAGCCCUGUUAGAGGUACAAUAGAAAUUGCUGCUCAAGGCACCGUGAUUGUUCGUACCAAUAACCAUGUGUUGUUUGAUGCAUAUUGUGAUCUCAACAGCAAGCUGCAAAGGAUGCUCUCUAUUUCCAAUUGGAAGAGGUUGGAAUUUAUCUAUUUCUCCAAGGAAAGUACUGCACUUUUUCUCUGCAUGACAAUUGGUAGACCUUAUUAUUUCUGACAGUCUCUCCGAGGACUGGAUUGCAAAGUAGUUCCAUUUGGAACUUCUUCAGAACAGCACAUGAGUUGAAGAUCAAGGCCGCUGGUGAAGAUAAGCUGAGAUAACACGCGUUGUAAAUCUGUGAUCAACAGCAUUGCAUUAUGUGGAUGCCAUGGUUGACAGAAACUGCAGUACCAUUUUGUCAACCUUGCGGCUCAGUUGUGAUUUCUGCCAGUUUUAUUCCAACUUCUGUUAGACUUUUCUUCUUCUUGAUGCUGUGCAACAAGGUCUCUUCAGUUGAUGGAAGGAAGGCCUGUCAUUCUGUUCAUCCAGGACUUGUAUGAAGCGUAGAUUUCGUUUUCUCCAUGUUGUAUAAUACUGCCGUACAUUGUAUUCUGCAUCUCUCGACCUGUAACCAGCCCUCUUGGUUAGUC